GUGCCUCUGCUAUAUAUCUUCAUAGCUAAGGAACAGUCUAAUUCUAGGCAGGCAGGCAUAGCCCAUAUCUAGUGUCUUUAAGAGAUACCAGGGGAGGAGCAAAUUGUCAUGGGUGCUCUUUAGACCCAGCCACAUUCUGAUUUGCUUAGUAGCCUUAGCAGUAAAAUGUACCCAGUUCAUUGCAUUCUUGUGUGGAUUAAUGAAUCAACCUCAGCCUGGUCAAGUGGCAGAGGGAGAUGGAAGAGGCAGUUUGCAGUCUCUGCACCGUCUUACCUGUCAACAGCAAUUGCAACUAGAGUGAAGACAGAGGCAGAAACAGAGACUCCUUGGACCAUCCCGCUCAUCUUGCAAAUCAGGUUCCCAAAUGGCCAUCCUGGAAGGAAACAGGCAAUUGAAAUUCCCACCAGCUCACUGCAGCAUUAUGCUUAUACAAGUAACAGGAAAUUUCCACCCCAGUGCUAAGAAGUUUCUUUGGUUGUGUCAGGCCAUAGCAAGGGUCAGGAAAGCAGAGGUUUUGUAAACAAACACUUUGCCAAAUGCCUUGGGUGAGUUUCUAAUGUUCCAAAAAUCAGCAAAGCAACAUUUCAUAGAGUCAGAGAAUCCCAGGUUGGAAGGGACCUCAAGGAUCAUCUGGUCCAACCUUUCUAGGCAAGCAUGACCUAGACUAGAUGUCCCAGCACCCUGUGCAACCAAAACUUAGAAGCGUCCAGUGUUGGGGAAUCCACCACUACCCCAGUGGAUUUUCACUAUGAGAACAAUGGCUGUUCCCAUUGUGAAAAAUUUUCCUCAUGUCCAGAAACAUCCCAUUUAACAUCCCAUUAAAAGGAGAUCUCAAGACAAGGAAGAGAACUGACCAGCACAGUUGGUUGUUCCUGCAUCUGGCUCAUAGCACCCUCUUUCUAAACAUGUCAUCUGGCAGUGGGAGAAUCCCUUCUGAAAGACGAGGGAUGUGGAAGUCAGUGAAGACAUCCCCAGUCAGGAGGUGGGUUAGGUGCUUGUCUUUCUUAUCUCUGACUUCCACUGACUUGAACCUGGCCUGGCAGUGUUCAAGGCCAGGUUGGACGGGGCUUGGAGCAACCUGGUCUAGUGGAAGGUGUCCCUGCCCAUGGCAGGGGGCCAGAACUGGAUGAGCUUUAAGGUCCCUUCCAACCCAUUCUGUGAACUCCCUUCAUAGCCCACUCAGAAACAGGCACCCGGCUCUCAGGACCUCAAGGUGAGUCCCCCCUUGAGGUCUUUCCACCAAGGGGUGUGAACCAGCCUACCUGCAAUGAUGUUAUCCAGGAGGGUGGUAGGCAUGCAGAAGAUUCCCACCAGCAAAUCGCUGACAGCCAGGUUUAAGAUGAAAAUGUUUGUGACUGUACGCAUACGUUUGCUCUUCAGCACAAUAAAACAAACCACUCCGUUGCCAACCAUGCAGAGCAGGAAGAUCAGGAGGUAAGAAAUGAUGAAGACAGCUGCCACUAAAGGCUGAUGAAGGUAGAAGUCCACGUAGGAGACAUUCCCUUCUAAGUAGAGGUAGUUGUAAGUCCUGUUAUAAUUCAGCAUGUGAGGCCAUUCGAACGGAGAGUUUGAGUCCAUUUUCUUGCUUGUAUUCUAAUGUGCUUUAACAGACAUUUAAAAGAGGUCAUUUUAGUGUGCUUGGAAUUGAUCUGAAGAAAUAUGACUAGUUUGGACAUACUGUGUGCUGAAAAACAUGCAGAGCUUAUGUAGACUCAUCCCUCUGUGGCUUUUUAACAGGCCAUGUUCUGAGCCUCCCUGGAUAGGAGAAACGGUGACUAAAUGAAAUCUUUGUGAAGUGGCUCAGACCUUCUGCCUGAAUGCAUCCAAAUGCAAUCCCCUUUGAUUGAAAAUGAAAUAUUUUUGUGUACAGUUGGUAUGAGACCACAGUUGAUGUCACUGCCCUGCCCACAAGCUGUGUAGAUCAGGAGACGAGUCCGCAAACACCAAGGACCACACCGUGUUUAAAACGCAGUGAGGUACAGGGUGUCUGGAUUCAUUUCCUGGCUCUGCUAUUGAAUUCCCAUGGGAUACUGGGGGACUGGUAAUUUCUCCAUGUUGCAGUUUUCCUGCUGUGAAAUGUGAGUAAUACUUGUCCCACAAGGUUUGUUUACACUGUCAAGUAAGUUCCCGUAUUUUAUAUUUUAUUAGAUGACUGUUGUCAAACACUGCAAAGCUUUUUUAGAAAAGACUUGAAGAAUUCUGAACUUUCUUGAUAUUGAAUCAUCUGGGCUGGUGUGAUGGCUUGAACAUAAGGGACGUGAGGCUUCUUGUUUGCCUGGAGCUGAAAGAAUCCAUUUAAGGCAGGUACAGAAUUUGUGUGCCCCAUACUGAGUUACUUCCAAAUUAAACUGUUUGAGAUUAACUUCAUAGAUCACAAUCUGUUUUCUUGUCCUGAAGAAACAUCAGGUUACACCAGAUGCUGCACCAAAGUUCUAAAUCAAAUCUUCACAUGGCAAAAUUCCAACAUACAUAUUAUACAACUCACACAGAGAUGGUAGCAGUCUACAUAACAGGCCAACAUGGGCAUCUGGACAUUUACAGCUGAUACCAGAUAACUUGACUUGGAAACAGCAUUCAAAAGGUUUUCCCACAUUUAUUUAUUUUACCUACCAGAUGGAGAUGCCCAAAGAGGCAGGGGGAUGGAGGACUACCUAACAUAAAAGAACAGCAAAAUUAAUUGGUGGCAGAAGGCAUAAGAUUAAUGCAUGGAUGCAGGUACCUUUAGGACACUUAGAAAUUCCUUAGAAUAAAUGAGAUUUAAAUUAAAGUACCCAAAUCCUGGUGAAUUUGUAUGUGAGGGAAGGGAAGUGCUGGCUACAUCUCUUUUCUUAUGAAAAGGAAGCUGGAGCAGGCCCUGCUUUGUGCUGCUCAGUUUUCAGCUGCCUCCCACGUACCUGAUGACCAGGCGUGUGCUGCUUUUUUCUCUAUCUGUGGAGUAAUGAUGGAAGGUGACAUUCUGUUGUCACUCUGUGUAGGGCAGCCCUCUCCCAGGAAAAGAAAAUGAGUGUUAGGUGCCAGGGAUUGAGAAUAUUUCUAUUCCAGUGUAUUAAGUGCCAAAUGCUUUAAAUAGCCAAAGAUCAGAGUGAACAGCAAUGGAAAGUGUUUUAAUGGCAGUGUUACCAUUCACUUUGCAUGCACACAGGAUGAAGAGUAUUGGCAGAAUUCACAGGCAGAUGUUUGACAUUAGUAGCUUACUCUGUUUCUUUAAUCACAGCCCUGGAUCUGCUUUAUCAGUCCCAGGAGAUGCUGUGUCACUCAAACUCCAUUUGAAGCUCAGCAUCUCUCUGACAGAGCAACCAAUCCCAAGAAUCUGGAUAGUCAGGCCCUCUGCCCGUCUCAGCCUCUAACAAAACUAAAUGUGUAUUUGCUUCUUUUGUUUUAGCUUCUCUGAGGUUCCACCUAAGUUCAUGUUCUCAAUGUUUGUCUGCAAAUAGAACACGCAUAAAUGCAUUCAAUCUUACUAUUAUUGUAAAUGAAUACUAAUUUUCUUCUGUAAUCAUUUGCUUCCCAGGGGUGGUGCUUGAAGAAGGACACUCCAGCAGAUGAGACAGAGGUGGCUUUUUCCUUCCUUGCCUUCUGUAGAUUGGCUUUUUGAGGGCUUUGGUCCCAGGAGCACAAACCCUUGUGGCUCAGUCUAGAGACUUCAAUAUCAGCCAAACACCAGGAUCCAGGCUGAGGCUAAGUAAAUGAUGUGCAGAGACUGUCACCAACACACUGCAGAACCUGGGCUCAGCAAGAUAUAGGCCACAGGCCAGACAGCCUUUUCCCCAGGUCUGGAUGGCAUGAGAAUACCACUGACUGCUUGGAAAUUGCUUUAAGAGCCCUGCAAGCUUGUACAGCAGUAACAGCCACACCACUCCAGGCAGUUUGCCACCUGCUUGUCCCUCCACAGCCCCUUAAAAACCCUGGCAGUACCUUGGCCUUUGGCACUGCUGUACAGAGCCACACCAUCAGCUCCACCAGAUUCAGCAAAAGAGCAAGUCCAGAUGAAUGCAAAAAUCCAUGAGAGUGGCAGAAUGUCACCAUAUGAGGUUUGGCAGGAUGUAGG